rnacentral:tRNA from 1 species
UAGGAAGUGGUGUAGUGGAAGCACUAAGAGCUUUGAUCUCUUCAGGUUGGGUUCGAGGCCCUUUCUUUUA